rnacentral:rRNA from 1 species
GAUGAACGCUGGCGGCGUGCUUAACACAUGCAAGUCGAACGGAAAGGCCCUGCUUUUGUGGGGUGCUCGAGUGGCGAACGGGUGAGUAACACGUGAGUAACCUGCCCUUGACUUUGGGAUAACUUCAGGAAACUGGGGCUAAUACCGGAUAGGAGCUCCUGCUGCAUGGUGGAGGUUGGAAAGUUUCGGCGGUUGGGGAUGGACUCGCGGCUUAUCAGCUUGUUGGUGGGGUAGUGGCUUACCAAGGCUUUGACGGGUAGCCGGCCUGAGAGGGUGACCGGCCACAUUGGGACUGAGAUACGGCCCAGACUCCUACGGGAGGCAGCAGUGGGGAAUAUUGCACAAUGGGCGGAAGCCUGAUGCAGCAACGCCGCGUGCGGGAUGACGGCCUUCGGGUUGUAAACCGCUUUCGCCUGUGACGAAGCGUGAGUGACGGUAAUGGGUAAAGAAGCACCGGCUAACUACGUG